AGUAAAAGUCGUAACAAGGUCUCCGUUGGUGAACCAGCGGAGGGAUCAUUACAGAGUUAUCCAACUCCCAAACCCAUGUGAACCUAUCUCUUUGUUGCCUCGGCGCAAGCUACCCGGGACCUCGCGCCCCGGGCGGCCCGCCGGCGGACAAACCAAACUCUGUUAUCUUCGUUGAUUAUCUGAGCGUCUUAUUUAAUAAGUCAAAACUUUCAACAACGGAUCUCUUGGUUCUGGCAUCGAUGAAGAACGCAGCGAAAUGCGAUAAGUAAUGUGAAUUGCAGAAUUCAGUGAAUCAUCGAAUCUUUGAACGCACAUUGCGCCCAUUAGUAUUCUAGUGGGCAUGCCUGUUCGAGCGUCAUUUCAACCCUCAGGCCCCCGUGGCCUGGUGUUGGGGCCUGCCACCGCGAGAGCGCGGCAGCCCCGAAAGCAAGCUGGCGGAGUCGGGAUGCACUCUAAGCGUAGUACACUUCUUUCACAAGCAAGUCUCGCUUCUGCGUCGCCCCGCGCCCCUGCCACGAAACCCGUCUCCCAGAGACACUUUCCAAUGGUUGACCUCGGAUCAGGUAGGAAUACCCGCUGAACUUAAGCAUAUCAAUAAGCGGAGGA
rnacentral:rRNA from 1 species